CAUUGGUUUGUGUAGCUCCUGAAUCUCUCAUAUGCUUCACCAAAACUUUCAUUGCUGUGCUGAGUGAAGCUAGAGAUUUGGUUUC
rnacentral:snoRNA from 1 species